rnacentral:rRNA from 1 species
ACUCAAAUGAAUUGACGGGGGCCCGCACAAGCGGUGGAGCAUGUGGUUUAAUUCGACGCAACGCGAAGAACCUUACCAGGGCUUGACAUCCUUUGAAUCCCGAUGAAAGUUGGGAGUGUCCCUUCGGGGAAGCAAAGAGACAGGUGGUGCAUGGUUGUCGUCAGCUCGUGUCGUGAGAUGUUGGGUUAAGUCCCGCAACGAGCGCAACCCCUACGGUUAGUUGCUAACGUAAAGUCGAGCACUCUAGCAGAACUGCCGGUGACAAACCGGAGGAAGGUGGGGAUGACGUCAAAUCAUCAUGCCCUUUAUGUCCUGGGCUACACACGUGCUACAAUGGCUGGUACAAAGGGCGGCAAAACCGCGAGGUAGAGCGAAUCCCAAAAAGCCAGUCUCAGUUCGGAUUGCAGGCUGCAACUCGCCUGCAUGAAGUCGGAAUCGCUAGUAAUCGCAGGUCAGCAUACUGCGGUGAAUACGUUCCCGGGCCUUGUACACACCGCCCGU